rnacentral:rRNA from 1 species
GACGUAGGGUCCAAGCGUUGUCCGGAUUUACUGGGCGUAAAGAGCGCGUAGGCGGUCCGUUAAGUGCAGAGUGAAAGCUCCGGGCUCAACUCGGAAAUUGCUCUGCAUACUAGCGGACUCGAGGACGGAAGAGGUUUGUGGAAUUCCUGGUGUAGCGGUGAAAUGCGUAGAGAUCAGGAAGAACAUCGGUGGCGAAGGCGCUCUGCUGGACCAUAACUGACACUCAGGGACGAAAGCUAGGGGAGCGAAUGGG